GGUGGCCUAUUGGUUAGAGCGUCCGCAUCAGAUGCGGGAGGUCGUGGGGUUCGAACCCCGGCUGAGUCA